CCUGGGCUGGUGGGAGGAAACCAUUCUAGAUCCCAUCAUUAGAACUGGGUAUCAAACUUGUAUCUAUAGUUGGCAUAGGUAUAUCGAUGACGUCCUGGUAUUCUGGUUGGGCUCUGUUAAGCAAUUCGAAGAAUUGGUUGAACUCCUCAAUGUGAACUCCAUUGGCCUCCAAUUAACCCAUGUAAUUGACUCUGAACAUCUAGUCUUUCUGGAUCUCAAUAUUAAGAUCCUACCUGAUGGAACCAUCGAAACCGAGCUUUAUCGGAAACCGACAGCGACGAAUAGUCUGUUAAAUUGGGAAAGCCACCAUCCCAUCAAACUUAAAUCUGGCAUCCCAUACGGACAAUAUUUGAGGGCCAGACGCAACUGCUCUAAUGAUGC